CCUAGGGAGGCAGCAGUGGGGAAUAUUGCACAAUGGGGGACAACCUGAUGCAGCGACGCCGCGUGAGUGAAGAAGUAAUUCGUUAUGUAAAGCUCUAUCAGCAGGGAAGAAAAUGACGGUACCUGAGUAAGAAGCCCCGGAUAACUACGUGCCAGCAGCCGCGGUAAUACGUAGGGGGCAAGCGUUAUCCGGAUUUACUGGGUGUAAAGGAAGCGUAGACGGCAGUGCAAGUCUGGAGUGAAAGGCGGGGGCUCAACCCCCGGACUGCUCUGGAAACUGUUCGGCUAGAGUGCAGGAGAGGUAAGUGGAAUGCCUGGUGUAGCGGUGAAAUGCGUAGAGAUUAGAAGGAACACCAGUGGCGAAGGCGGCUUACUAGGCUAUUACUGACGUUGAGGCUCGAAAGCGUGGGGAGCAAACAGGAUUAGAUACCCGAGUAGUC
rnacentral:rRNA from 1 species